UUUUACUAAUGAUUGAAACUAUAGGGACUAAUAACAGUAAUUUGUUCUCAUUGUUAUUGGGCCUUCAUAUGUUUUAUAUUAGAAACAUUUAAAAAAAAAAUGUAGGGCUUGGAAUGCAAAAAGUUGAAAUUAAUAUUGUCAAAGAUGGUUUUAUUGCAGGUAAUGUUCAAGCUAGAGAAAAAUAUACAUAAGUUUUGCUGAGGUACAGUUGUGAAGCAGCAGUGGACAGAGUUGCAGAGUUUAUUAUUGUUAAACUAAAAAGUCAAUGAAUACUAGAUUGUAUGAUGGCUGAUGUUAAUGGAACUAAAUACUUCUCUUCAGAGGGUAUUAUACUGUUUUGUUUAUAUUUAGAAAUGUCAAAUCGAAUGCAUAUUAGUAGACUUAAUGUUACAAAUUGUGCCAUUGCCAAUUUUGUUUCCACCAAGCUAUACAGUUUAAUACAUUGUCCUCAUAAUAGUCUGGACCCAAGUAGUAACUUCCAUGUCAACAUUACAGUAAAUAAACUAUUUUUACAAACAUUUUUGUGAAAAGUUGGUACAUUUCUUGAACCAUGGCUAUUCCCAUAUAAGCCAGAAAAUGCAUUUGGACCCUAUAACUUUGGAAACACAUUUAUCCCAUCUUACAAAAUGAUCUCACAAUUUCACAUGGAAUUUUUAGAGGUAAAAAUAUGCAAUUUUUUUACAACUACUUCUGAACAUUUCACUGUACACAUUGGUGGAAACUUUGUCAAGUAUCUAUAAUUUUGAAAUCACAUGAGUUUAACCUACUGCAGAUUCCAAUAACCAUUUUUCUGUUAUGCCUGUGUCUGAUACUUUCUGCUUUAGUGGAACAGGUCCCCUCUCCUAUGGAAACACAAGGUAGUUGUACAUAAUAAAUAUAAGUGUGGUGUCGCUGGUGUCCUUUACCCCUCCGUUGAGUUUAUUUUCACAGAAUCACAAAUGUACACACAGCACACACACGACCAUCACGACCCGCAGGUCUCUCCACCACCUGCAGGGGUCACCAGUGUUCGAAUUUGACGUGGUCUCUCCAGAUCAAAAAGUAAUCUGUGGUCAUCAGGUUUCUGAGAACAAGAGUAUUACACACAUAUUU
ensembl:lncRNA